rnacentral:rRNA from 1 species
UCCUACGGGAGGCAGCAGUGGGGAAUAUUGGACGAUGGGCGAAAGCCUGAUCCAGCCAUGUCGCGUGAGUGAUGACGGCCUUAGGGUUGUAAAGCUCUUUCAGUGGGGAAGAUAAUGACGGUACCCACAGAAGAAGCCCCGGCUAACUCCGUGCCAGCAGCCGCGGUAAUACGGAGGGGGCUAGCGUUGUUCGGAAUUACUGGGCGUAAAGCGCGCGUAGGCGGAUCUUUAAGUCAGGGGUGAAAUCCUGGGGCUCAACCUCAGAACUGCCCUUGAUACUGGAGAUCUUGAGUCCGGAAGAGGUUAGUGGAAUUCCCAGUGUAGAGGUGAAAUUCGUAGAUAUUGGGAAGAACACCAGUGGCGAAGGCGGCUAACUGGUCCGGUACUGACGCUGAGGCGCGAAAGCGUGGGGAGCAAACAGGAUUAGAUACCCUGGUAGUCCACGCCGUAAACGAUGAGUGCUAAGUGUUAGAGGGUUUCCGCCCUUUAGUGCUGAAGUUAACGCAUUAAGCACUCCGCCUGGGGAGUACGGCCGCAAGGCUGAAACUCAAAGGAAUU